CCUACGGGUGGCAGCAGUGAGGAAUAUUGGUCAAUGGACGAGAGUCUGAACCAGCCAAGUAGCGUGAAGGAUGACUGCCCUAUGGGUUGUAAACUUCUUUUAUAUGGGAAUAAAAUGUUCCACGUGUGGGAUUUUGUAUGUACCAUAUGAAUAAGGAUCGGCUAACUCCGUGCCAGCAGCCGCGGUAAUACGGAGGAUCCGAGCGUUAUCCGGAUUUAUUGGGUUUAAAGGGAGCGUAGGUGGAUUGUUAAGUCAGUUGUGAAAGUCUGCGGCUCAACCGUAAAAUUGCAGUUGAAACUGGCAGUCUUGAGUACAGUAGAGGUGGGCGGAAUUCGUGGUGUAGCGGUGAAAUGCUUAGAUAGCACGAAGAACUCCGAUUGCGAAGGCAGUUCACUGGACUGCAACUGACACUGAGGCUCGAAAGUGUGGGUAUCAAACAGGAUUAGAUACCCCAGUAGUC
rnacentral:rRNA from 1 species